UACUAGAAUUAUGAUUUUUUGCGUCUAUUUUUUUGCGACUGAUUAAUUAACCGUCGCAAAAAAUCAUUUUUGACAUCAAAAUUUCAUUUUACAAUCUCAUUUUCGUCACCCAAUCGUGUCCUUAACUUAAAAAAAAAAAAACCCCCAAAUUCUCUCCCUCUCAAUCCCUUCUUUUUUUUUUUCUUCUUGUUUUCCAAAUCUGAACUCUCUCUCUCUCAUUCUCAAAAUCUGUCUCGCUCGAAUCUCACUGCCUCUCUAGCUCGAAUCUCUCGCUCGAAUCUCACUGGCUCUCUCGCUCGAAUCUGUUCGAUCGAUUCAACUCUCUCAAGUCUACAACUGUUGAAGAUUUCAUAAUCGGUAAGCCUAAACACAUCUUCAUCGAUUCAACUCUCUCUGUAACGAUCCGAGUUAUGUACUUCUCUGUAAUGGAAUCUGUCUCAAGAAGAAUCUGUAACAGCACUUUACACGGAGCUAUGACGCGCUUGUGCUGGUCCGCUCGUGACAGUGCCUCGUGAAGGCGAACGCGUGUUCUAUUUUCCUCAAGGACAUAUUGAGCAGGUUAGUUUCCAACUCUAGGCAAUCAUAUUCGGAGUUCUUUGUUUCUUUUAGAGGUUAGAUUCAUUUGGAUUUCUCAUAAUGCUCUAUAAUUUUAUCAAUUUUGUCUCUCUUGGUUGUGCAUCUCCAAUUGUUCAUCAAUUUGUUCAUCAGAUUCAAAUUUGAUAAAAAAAAAUGGCUCCAAAAUGUUUGAUUAUCGAUGAAGAAUUACGCUUGAUUAUCUUCAGUCAUCAAAAUGAUAGUACUCCAAUUUUUCCAUCAUACAAUGAUUUUAGGAAUUUCUAAAUUUUUAUUUUAUUAUUUUGUGAUCUAGAACUAGCUGAUUAUCAUUGAUAUGAUCCACAAUAUAACCCUGACCUUGUGACCCAAACAACUGAUGAUGUACAUGAUGAUGACUUGUAGAUCAAUUGACAUUACUUUUAAUAUUAUCAUAAGAAAGGUUGACAUUACUUUUAAUGCCAAGGGAAGCCAGUCCAGAUGCCCCAAUCACUGCCUCUAGGUUAGUUAUAGAGUUAUAAGUUAUAGAGUUCGGUGUUGUUUGGUCCAAUUUAUUAGAGUUGUUUAUAGUUUUUUUAUUUUGAGAAAUUUGUGCCAAAGUAUUUUUUAUAGUUUCAGUUUGUAAUUUAUGAGGCAGAAAUAGCUUAGGUAAAAUUAUAAAUAAAUAGAAAAAUUAAUUAUUUGAAAGCAGUGAGAGAAGUGUUUUUAACUUUUUACUUUUUACUUUUCUGUUUUCAACUUUCAGUUUAAGGAAAGUUAUACAAAAUAGCCUCUUCAAGCUUAUAGGUUGUUGACACUGCGGUUUUGGAGCAUGAUUGUAGUGCAUGUUUGUGUUCUGUUUUUUACUAAUGAGGUUGUCCAAACAAGGCGGAAUUGGGCUAUAACGUUGUCUUGACCUAGACAACAAGAGUUGAUUAGGUUCACUCUACUCAUCCUCAGACAUUUAAAAAAAAAAAAAACUCUACAAAAGUUUCUUGUGGAGGGCACAAAAUGAUUCCAAGUGUUGAACCGUACUGAGACUUUUUUUCCCUCCAAGGCUGAAGUUCAUCGACAUCCUCAUUGAGUUAUUAGAAUGGUUAAAAUUCACCCUCUUUCUUUGAAAAACAACAGCAAAUUCAAAUUUAAAAGUGUAAUAAUGGAACACCAAUUCAAAUGAUUUCCAAAAGAGUUGCCAUGAGGAGGCUGCUAUUUGGCAUGUCAAAAGCCAUGACCGCUCCUUGAAUUGACGGGUCCCAGCUAUAUAGUGCCCUCGCAAUGCCAUUCAUAUUUGAAUGUUGAGGUGGUUGUGCAACCGUGGCAGAGUGGUCUGAUGAGGGAGGCAAUCUUUUAUCGUCCGGCGAAGGAGAUUUAGUGUCUGUGACAUUAGACGUGGUGAUGUCAUGGAUGCUAGACCUCCUCUUAUCCUUCUCUCCAGAAAGCUUCCUGAUAAAGUACUUCUGAGCAUGACUCACAACAAGUUUCAAAAGAAAAUGAAUAGGCGAGAAAGAAUUUGUCUACGAAAGUUGCACACCUUUGUCAUCUUCUUCAGGCUCCAUUGAGGGUUCUUUCACAUUUGUCUCUGGAAGUGUAUAGCGAUGGAGUGUGGAUCGCCUUUCAGGAUUUUGUUCAUCAUUCAUCAUGUAUCACUAAGUGAUCAUGACUUGUGUGGUUUCACUACUAGAAAUAGAAUGCUGGUGUUUGUUCCUCUACAUCCACUGGUCAAGCACUGGGUUGCUGUUCUUAGAAAUGAGCAGACUCCUUGCCCCAUCUUUAAUUGUUCCUAUCUUGAGAGCUGGUCUUGCUCUAGCAGAACAUGCAUCAUCAACUGAUAUGGUAAACUGGGAUCACUGGUGGAGCCUGAAGUUACUCUCAAGGUAAUUGAAACUCUUGUUGCAAAUCACUGAUCUGCUAUAGAGAGAGGUCACUAUGACAUAGUUUUAUUUUGAUUAUUUCAAGCUAAACUAACACAUUGAAGUGCAUUAAAUUUUCAGAUCAAGUUUGAUAUAUGUUUUUGCAGAUUUUGUUGAGGGAAUAGUUGAUAUGAUCGAGCCGUUGAUGUUGGGAGCCAAAGAUUAUGUUUUUUUUUUUUUUUUUUUUUUUGACGGUUUGAAUUUUUUAGUACAGUGCAUUUAAGGAUGGUUAAUGGAUAAUGUCUAUUAUAAAUUUAAUUAAUUUGUUAAUUUUGUUAUUUUUCAUUUACAAAAAAUUGUUUGGUGCUUAUAAUUGAUUUUUUUGGUUGUAGCAAACUCAUAUAUGAUUUUUUUUUAAUAAAUAAUUAUUUGCGACAGUAAAAUAAUGGUCGCUAAAAGUGUUUUUAAUUUUUUAUUUUUUUUUUGCGACGGCAAAAUAGUUGUCGCAAAAAGUAGUUUAGGCGGUCGCAAAUAAUUUGCGACCGUUGUUUUGCCGUCGCAAAAAGUAUUUGCCACCCCCACAUUUGCGUCCCCCAUUUGCGGUCGCAUAGGCCGUCGCAAAAAGUCUUUUGCGACUGUAUUUUUAUUAUUUGCGACGGCAUGUGACGGUCGCAAAAAGUAUUUUUUUUAG